AUUUCUGUAGUGUAGUGGUUAUCACGUUAGCUUUUCACGCAGAAGGUCCUUGGUUCAAAACCAGGCAGAAACA